ACGGGGGGUGCGAGCGUUGUUCGGAAUUACUGGGCGUAAAGAGCGUGUAGGCGGCCGAACAAGUCAGAUGUGAAAUUCCUGGGCUCAACCCAGGACGUGCACGUGAUACUAACGGGCUUGAGUGCUGGAGAGGGGAGCGGAAUUCCUGGUGUAGAGGUAAAAUACGUAGAGAUCGGGAGGAACACGAGAGGCGGAGGAGGCUCACUAGACAGUUUCUGACGCUGAGAUAGGAGAGCGUGGGGAGCAUACAG
rnacentral:rRNA from 1 species